rnacentral:rRNA from 1 species
UACCAGCACCCCGAGUGGUCGGGACGAUUAUUGGGCCUAAAGCAUCCGUAGCCGGUCCUGCAAGUCUUCCGUUAAAUCCAGCUGCUCAACAGAUGGGCUGCGGGAGAUACUACAGGGCUAGGAGGCGGGAGAGGCAAGCGGUACUUUAUGGGUAGGGGUAAAAUCCGCUGAUCCAUAGAAGACCACCAGUGGCGAAGGCGGCUUGCCAGAACGCGCUCGACGGUGAGGGAUGAAGCUGGGGAGCAAACCGG